rnacentral:lncRNA from 1 species
GAGCACUAGAAAUCCCGCAGGAUAAUCUCCCCAGGUCCAGGGCCACAGUUUACUCUUUCCUGUGUAUUCCUUAUGCAGUCAUGCUUUUCCUGAUGCAGGGCCUGACAUUAAGGGCUCUGGGGCUUCCAUGUGUGGGGAGUGUUUACCUAACCCUGAUAGCUCUUCUUUUAUUCUUAUCUCCAGUCAGCUUGACGAUGGCUUAUCAGUUUGAGCAUGAUAAGUUGAGUACAUUGCCACAUGCUGGCUGAGAGCCCCAGUGUUUUAGGUGUUGAUAGACCCCCUAUUUCCUAAGGUACUGUGGUUUGCACAGAGUCUAAGUUGUCUUGGGUUUCCUUCUGUUGUCUUUUGGUGCUCACUUCCUAAACAUGUCGGCUUAUGCCUGAACUCUAGCAA